UUUCUUACUGACAAAGGGCCGGUUUAGCCUAGCUUUUGAAAAAGUGAUUUCUGAAAAAGUGAUUUUGGUUAAAAACUGUAGAGCGUUUGACGGAGUUUAGAUAAAAGUAAUUUUUCUGAAGUGAUUUUGAAAAGCUGUUUGGCAAAAUUUUUUUUAAAGUUUGCAUAAAUUAAUAUCUUUAUUAAUUUUUAUUUUAAAAUAAUUUAAAAUCUAAAUUUAAAUUUGAAUUAAAAUUAAAAUAUUUAAAUUUUCUUUGCACUGAUCAAAUUUAUUAUGCAUUACUAA
rnacentral:lncRNA from 1 species